AGGACGAACGCUGGCGGCGUGCUUAACACAUGCAAGUCGAGCGGAAAGGCCCUUCGGGGUACUCGAGCGGCGAACGGGUGAGUAACACGUGAGUAAUCUGCCCCUAGCUCUGGGAUAGCUCCGGGAAAACCGGGAUUAAUACCAGAUACGACCACUUUAGACAUCUUCUGUGGUGGAAAGAACUUCGGCUAGGGAUGAACUCGCGGCCUAUCAGCUUGUUGGUGAGGUAACGGCUCACCAAGGCGACGACGGGUAGCCGGCCUGAGAGGGCGACCGGCCACACUGGGACUGAGACACGGCCCAGACUCCUACGGGAGGCAGCAGUGGGGAAUAUUGCGCAAUGGGCGAAAGCCUGACGCAGCGACGCCGCGUGGGGAUGAAGGCCUUCGGGUUGUAACCCUUUCAGCAGGACGAAGCGAAAGUGACGGUACUGCAGAGAAGCGCCGGCUAACUACGUGCCAGCAGCCGC
rnacentral:rRNA from 1 species